AUCUGUUCAAAUAGAAAGCACACAUUCCAAUGAGAUUUCACAUCCUUAAUAACUCUCUUGCAGCAGCCUGCUGUUAACAGACCUCGCCACCCUCUGCAAAGUAGGGUAAUGAACCUUGUGCCACCAUUGACUUUCAUGUCUGCAUAAUCACUCAUUAUUUACAGCAAACAAAGGAGAAGCAGAGAAAAUUGGGCUUUUUCAGCAAUAUUAUUACCUUCCUUAAAGAGUGAGGGGAAAAAUUGUACACAGACUGUAACCUCUGGCGUGUGACCUCCUUUGGUUUGCUCACUAACACACCUUGCACAAAGCUGAGAUACCUGAAUGCACCUUUUAAACCCAAGAUGCCACGGAGAAGCAAGGAACAAGUUUGGCAGGGGAGGCUGUAGUUAUAUUGGCAUGUUGGUGGUUGACCAGAAUGGGCUGCCCGUUUCCUGCUUUCUAGCUGUUUCAGAGGAUUAGUGUUGAAUGCCUGGUUGUUGGUUACCUACGUGAAUUGUCAGAUAAGAAAAAUUAAAUGCCAAAACCGCAUUUAAAUUAACUACACAUAAUGCCCACUAAACCUCAAUAAAUGGUGCCCACUAGUUUGCCUACAAUUGGGAAUCAAUUAUGGUGCUAUUUCCAUUACAAACCCUGUAUCUCCAGGAUUAAAUUACUUGAACUUGACUGUUUUUAUUUUUAUCAGGCUGAAGCUUGGCACAUAAAUUAUCGGCGUGGAUGCAAAUUUUCCUCUAAAUAAAAUGGAUUAAGUGAGGUAAGCUUCUUUUAUUUAGCUAUAAAGUGUUCUACGAGGCUGCCUCUGACUUUGGAUAGCCUUCCUGAUCUGCAUGAUUAACAGGCUUAACUUUGAAACAGGAACUUUGCAGCAAUUAGUACCCAAAGAUAGAUUGGAGGCCUGCCUGGGAGCCAUGCUCUGCUCCAGUUUUGGUCUUCUUCCUUCCUCCUGGCUUAACUUGUGCUUUUAGACUACAUGUUCUCUGAAUUACAUGUUCUUGGGGCCAAGGUGGGGGAGGGGUUCAGUUGUAGAUUUUAUUUCAGCAUCAGGGGGCCUUCCUGUUAGAGUGCAGAGACUGUCAUCUUGUAUUCACUCCAAGUGAGACUCUAGUAAUUUGGGUCAGUUUUGUAGACCUCAAAGGAUAAUUCCUAAAUAUCCCGGCAGGACCCACGUACAACCCCUUAAUGGACUGUUAAUUCAAACUCCUGUAGAUUGUCACACCACAAGUCGCAAUGAGGAUGCUUUCUUUUUCACUAGGUAUCGUCACCAUCACACUCCCUAUUCUUGGUCCUGCAAUGACCACUUUUCAGGCUCACAGGCUGGCCCUGCUUCAGACAUGCUCAGGCUGGUCCUGGCUCGGGAUUCUACAAACCAUCCUUUGAUUCUAGCAGGGCCUCACUGUUGGAAGAUUCCAUGGCCCCUGCACAGCAAGAUGAAAAACUGGCUGUCAUUUGGGCAAUGGAAUUUACCUGGAAAAAAGAUUAUUGGAAAGAUAUGCCUACAUCUGCCACAAUAUGCAUUAAAAAAAAUCCUAAUUCAGAAUAACUUACGGUUACAACUUAUGCCUGACUCUGCUGGUCAUUCUACACCUGACUUACCAAGAAAUGCAAAAGAGUAAAGUUCUCUUUACGAACAUCUAUGUUUCUACUGACGGAGGCUACGUUCUUGCAAUGUCUGCCAUUUCUGGAGCUAAGAGCUGUUACCCUGUGUCUCUGCUGCUCGGAUUGGGAGUUCCCUACAGAAGGAGACCUGCUGGGUCCUCAGUGCCUGUGAAUCCACUGCUUUGUGUGUAACAUGUUUUCCAGAAGGAUUUGGAGAAGGAGUCUACAGGCCACAAGAAUCUGUCGAGCUGUUGACCAAACGGGAACGAAAACUCGGGAUUAGAAUAAAAAAGAAAAUGGAGAGAGGGGUCAAGGAAAAGAAAGAAAGAAAGAAAGAAAGAAAGAAAGAAAGAAAGAAAGAAAGAUCUCUUUUCUUGGAAGGCUCCUCCCUGUCUCUGCUGUCUUCUUAGGAAAUGAUCUUGGAAACUGUGACCUAAUAGUCAAAACCUGGGGAGAUAUACAAAAUUCAAGGAGGUAUUAUUUUUCAUGUCUGCAAUGUGUGGUUGAGGUGAUAAGAUGGAAAUGAAAGGAAUGUGCGCAUCUUUAGGAGCCAAAGAUGUGCAGAAUCUCAUGAAAUGAUCAGUCUGUGUGGAGCUGCAGGCCCCACCAGUAAAUAGGAGAACAAAGGCAAGGUGAUGGGAGGAUCCGGUGACCUCACGCUUAAGGAUAGAAAAGUGACACUGGGGCAUCAUAAUCAGAGGUGAAGAGUGAAGCCAUCCUGCCUGAAAUCCUCUAGUCAUUAAGACGGUUUGGCAAGUUAAGGUACCUCAAACACUACAUGAGAGAGUAAUCCCAAAAUUGUGUUAGGGGAUACGGCUGAGUUUAAAAACUAAGCAUAGGCGUUUUUAAGAGAAUCAAAUCACAGAGCGAGUAUUCUUUGUGUGUUAAAAAAAAGCACCUGAGAAUGCGGAACCUUAAUGCUUUCAAAGCGAAUGACAACUGUGGCCAUUCAGAAUAACUGGUCAGACAUGUCAGUCCAAUUUAAAAUAUGUAAUGGAGCAACUGCUUUAUAUUUUUGACUAAUGACAUCCUAGGUUACAUAGAGUUUUAAAACAUUUACCAGAAUUAAAACAUAUUUUUCAGUUUCAAUUACUAUAAGAAUUACUUAAAUACUUGGGAGGGUUUUACAGUCCCACAAUUCAAGUACUUAAAAAGGAAAGACUUCUCAUGGUGAGCAGUGACUAAUGUGUAGAAUUGUUUACUCAAUAUACUGUAUGCUGGCAACUAAUAUUACUCCAUGUGUUAAUUGUACUUCACUGGAGAUACAAUAUAUUCUCUUUACUUUUUAUUUAUUUUUAAUUGGUUAAAGGAGUUUAAUUAACCGAGUUUGUAAAUGGAACCAAAUAUUUAAAUUUCCUAGUCAAAUAUAUAGAAUAAUAAGAUAAUGUGUAAAUGAAUGUGAAUAGGCUAAAUUUGAAAAUUUAAACAUUUUAAAAAUGUGUUAUCUUAAUAAGUCAAAUAUCAAAUUUGAAAUCCAAACUAACCGUUUAAAUAGACCUUCCUGUGGACAUAAACUAUCCUCUGUGCACCAAAAAUAUACUUGAUACUUGCUUUCAGGCCAUGGCUCAAAUACUGCCGCCCUAAAGAGGCUUUCCAUGACCACCCACCUGACUGAAAGCCUUAUUCUCUCUUUUUCUCUGUCACUGCAUCUAGCUCCUUUUAUACGUGCUAGCGUAAUUGGCAGUUAGAGAUUUGUUUGUUUCCUGGUUUAUUGUCUAUUUCCCAAUUAAACUGUAUGCUGCAGGUGCAGUAACAUUUUUUAAUACAUCACCGUGUUUCUAAAACCUAAUACAUCACCGUGUUUCCAAAACCAACCUUUGCUUGGUACAAAGUAGGCGCACAGAAAGUAUUUUUGAAGGAAUGAGUAAGUGAAUGAAUUAAAAACCAAAUAAGCCAAAAAUACUAAGGUCCAUAUAUUACACAAUAUAACCAACAGAACCAAGGUGUUCUAGAAAUCGGAGAUCUUCACAGACUGAUUGGCUAGGUUUUCCACUCUGUGAAUAUUACUUUUAUAUUUCUCUUGCUAAAAUACAGAGCAAUUUCAUGGCUAGAUGAAAACUUUGUCCGCUUUAUUGCCACAGCAAACUUUUUGAGAGAUUUGUUUACUGUUUGAUUUGCCAGAAACCCCAGUUUAGCAAGGAGAUAAUGCACAGAUGGCACCAAGAUGCACAAUAAAAGGUUUAAUAAAUCACAAUUAUAACUUUAACAUGAAGUAUAUUAAAUAUCUCAAUGAUGUAUUUUUUAGGAGCUUCUAGUAUUUGAAAAGUACACAGAAUGGAGAAAAGGAUUACCAUACUUCAAAAUAUGUUUCCAUUUCUUAAGAAAUCUGUGAAGCCAGCAUAUAAAUACAAGCGUUCUAUCCACUAGCUAUGAUAUUAAUACCAGUGUGCUAUUUAAGUUUUAAGGAAUCAUUUACAUUUUGAUGCUGACUCUACAUGUCAUAUAAAUAGGAAGAUUUUUUGUAUAGCUUAGCAUUUUGGGCAAAAAAAUUCAUUCUAUUUUUCUUCUGCUUAGUUGAAGAGAAAGUACGUACUCUUGGGUCAACUUAUCUUUUUAAUCUAAGAGGUCUCAGUUGAAAUUGACUUUGAAGUUUGCUAAUUACAAAACUCAACAGGGGUUUUUCCUUAUUUGGUAUAACUCAUAUUUCUAUUCAUUAACCCCAGUUUUAAAAAGAUUAGAAAAUCUGAAUAGAAACAACUUAAAAGUUUGAAGAAUAGCCUCUUCCCCUGUGAUAUCUUCAGAUACUUAAGUGCAAACUUCCCCUCAUACAAUCUAAUUACAAAUCUUUUGUGGUUGUGGAAGGAGAAGGUUAUAUUCGUACAUUUUGAGCUUCCUAACAACAGUGCAGCAGGGAGAUGAGAAAUCGGUUGAAUUUUUUUUUUCACUCCAUAUAUUGGGAAAAUUUAUGUCUACCUGAGUUACGAGAAAAUUGGGGUUCUGACGGGCAAUCCUGCUAGCUGCUUUUCGUGGGGCCAAGCCACUGGGUUCAGAUGCUUUCAUUCUGGUGAAAAGAUCAUUACCAGGCGGCUCCGGGGAAGUUGGCCCUCCUGUAAGUGCGCUCCUUUGUUAUGAAUAUGGAACAGAUGGAGCCAAAUCUAUCUGCUCCGUAGGAACAAAAACACUUACAACCCAGCUCUCUCUAUUAAAGACUCUACUUAGCUCCUUUAUACCAUUGGCUUUCUGUGCACUGCUGUGAGGUUUUGACUUUAUAGAAAAAGGCACUUCAUAAAAGCAACAGUUCUUACUCUUAAACCAAAGUGGCCUAAGAACUAAAGAAGAUGAAUACAUGGUUUCACCCACAGGACUCCUUGGAGAUAUGCAGAUAUUCAAUUAGGUGUGUGUGUGUGUGUGUGUGUGUGUGUGUGUGUGUAGGAGAAAGACUAUUCAGUUCUGGUAAAUGUCUGCUUUAAAACAACAUGAAAAUAUAAAGGAGAACGAUGAAGAUGUCAUGUUUCUCAUUACGAGGAUGGCAUCUAAUUGCUCUAGCAUAAUAAAAUGCCAGGAUUUAAUUUUGUGUGUAUGUCUGUAAGGCUAGCGAGGACUGUCUUGAACAAAAAAUAUGACCACGCACAACAAAAUCAUGCGGGUAAAUAUAAUUAGUAAUUAGGACCAUGCCACAAAACAAAGGCUAUAUGAUGCUUCCUCCCUAUGAAAAAUAGUAAUAAUUACAUUCAGUAUCAUGCCCAUUUGCUUUUAUAAUCAGAAAGACGUGAAUGCGGCAGGUAAAUCCAGUGCUUGUGCCUAUUUAUCAUGCCAAUGGGCUGAAACACAUCCAAAGGCCAUACCUACAAUGUGUUCUUGCCAAGACGUGUGUGUUGACAGAUAGGUAGGUGAGUCUCACAGGCUUCUCGGAGAGGAUGCAGGACUGGGUGUGCACCUCCCCUACACAGCAACACGGGGAAAGGAGUGUCUGCCUUAUUUCAUUACAUUUAUUAUACUGAUACAUUUAAAGUCUGGCUGCCUCUUCGAAGAUAAUUGAAAAAAGAAAUUCUGUGGCAGGAUGCUUUGAUUCUGACUCAAUCAAGUCUUCGGGCAAAUUUCCUCCUGCCAGUGGAAGCACAGCUUGCCUGAAGUCGUAACCUUUGUUGGAGGAAAGGAACUGGCCUUGAAGCAGAUCAUGAAGCAGAUGUUUUAUGCCAAAUCAGAGUCUGGGGAUACGUAGGCUACUGCAAAUAAAACUCUUCUUCUGUCUGUUCAAUCAUUUCAAUUCCCUGCAGUGUGAAAUAUGAACUUGCCAACAAAUGGCCAGCGUGCUGUGCCUCGCAGCAGGGGGGGAAAGUGCCACAGCUGUGCCAGAGACUGGAAAACUCGAGACGCGCGUGACAUGUUCAUUAUUUCUCUACAGCCAGGGCCUGAGCCAGACCGUUCCCCAGAACCCAGACGGAGGGCAGGAGCUGGACUGCCCAGUACACCCAAGGGUGAAAGACAUGAUUUCCACCAAAAUGAGACACACGACUUGGACUGAUCUCUUGGAUGACCCCAGAAGGUCAGUCUUUACGACAAGAAACCAAAGGGCAGAUCUUCUCUGGGUAUGAAUAGAUUGAAAAAAUAGGUCUGCCAAUGAUCACAGCUUUUUUUCUGAUUUUAUUAGCAGCCUGCUCUGUGAGCAAUAAAAAAAAAAAGAAAAAGAAAUAAUGAAAUACACUUCGAGCCUCAAAGCAACUAUGGAAGAUUGAAAUGGCCCAGUGAAGAACCUAUCAAAAAGAUAUCUUGUCUUUAUCAGAAAGACGGAAUUCUGGAAACCAUCUGGCAUACUUGUUGCAGGCAAAUGUAAUACUAGUUCCUUCUAGUGUUCUGCACUGGCCUUCUAGUUUAUUCUGCAUUAGUUUCUCAAUAAUCAAACAGCUAAUUUAUCUAAAUUAAAGAAAAGUAAAAUUAACAAGUUUCAGUUUGAGGUCCUUUGCAACAUAUUGAACAUGCAUAUUCACACAUACCCUUAUAGCUGUAAUCCUAGAUUAUAAAUAUCCCAUAUUCAGUUCUAUUGUGAGAUUUUUCAAAGGUUAUUCACAUGCUUUCUAGUGCCACAUUCUUUCAAGUUUUAAUCACGAGCUCCUUAAAUAGAAGUCAUUUGCAUCUGUAAACAUUCCCUUGCAAUAGUAUUUAGCAGUAUAUUCUCUUUGUGCAGAGCUACUUUAAAAGGAAAAUAACCUUAAUAUGGAAUAACAAUCAAGCACAGGCAGAAAAAGAUAAAUUAGAGGCUUGAGGAGCCUCUGUUGCCCCUUUAUGCAAUUUCUGAAAAAAAAAAUGUUUGAAGUUUCUCAAUCUUAAAAUAGCCCAGAAUCACAGUUUAUUUUGGAUGAUGGAUUAUAGG